AUGCCGUGGCCCUCGGCUGCCGCCGGACACCAGGAAUCGCAGCCGGGAGAGCGCAGGGGUCUGUUCUCGUGCUUGUUCAGCGAGUGCGACGCUCCCCCCUUGGACAAAUCGAAUUUGGACGCCGAUCUCCUGGAGCUCCUCCUCGACUUGCACGAGGAGGCUUUCGGCCGGCUGCCCGUCCAUGACAUGCCGGUGGAAGCCGCCGACCAGUUGGCCGUAUCCAUGCGCGAAGGCGGCCUCUGCCUCGGCCUCCUCGACCCCGUCACCAACAUCAUCCUCAACACCGUCGCCCUCCUCCCGCGCGACUUCGGGGACAUGGCAAAGCCCGACAGGAGGAGGUCCAAGAGGCUGGCCGCCGGCAGGGUGCAACCCAGUGACUACAGCAGCUGGAACACCAGCUGGGUUUUGCCAUCCUCCGGCAGGGUUACCUGUGGGCCGGCUACAUGGUACUCUAUUGCUGGGGCGUCCCGCCAGGCUCUCAUCAGAUUCAUGGUUGGCUCCUUCGGAUGCCUCAGCGAAGAAAAGGCCACCCGCUACCUCCACUGGGCACGCGCCGAUCUCGCCCUCGCAGUCCAGCUGGUCGAGCACGAUCUACACGCUGCUGCUGUUUCACCACCCGACCCUGCCUCUGAAAGGACGCAAGCCGCCUUCAAGUACGCCGCAAGCUGUGGGCGGCGGCACCCUGCGCCUGAUGACCUGGUGCGGCUCCAGGCGUCGCCCCUGCCCAAACAGUGCCUCCGCGACUCCGCCCCCUUGCUCGAGAAGGGAGGGCGCAAGCUCAGCGUCGAUGAUGUCAUUGCCAUCAUGGAUUUGCUGCGAUACCAGGUCGGUGCUCCCUUGGAUCUUCAGUUCAGCUUGCGGCCAAGCGGAAGAGAGCUACUUGUCUACUGCCGGGACCUCAAGGCCGAUGAAGGGAGACUAGACAUUUCCAACACCACAAGCUCCGAUGGCUUCAAAAUGUUCACCAUCAAUGUCGAGCGUCAUGGAGACCACUUCGCGGCCCUGCGGUCUCCUCACGAGGACAGAUCCAUGAUCUCAUCCUGUUUGCAGAAGGUCGCACACUUCGGCUCUGCGGUCAUGAUCUGUUCUGGCGAUGCCUGCGAAUACACUGGGUCUCUCAGGAUGAGGCUCCACGACAUGAUCCACGGCUUCUAUCUCAAAGUCUUCGCCAUGCUGCCCUCUAUGUGGCUCCACCUCAUCCCCCACAUCCUAUUCGCUGGCCACUGCUAUGGCCCCAUGGACCCUGUCUCCAACAUCAUCAUCAACUCCAUUUGCCACCACAUACUGCGCCCGCUCCCAUCGUCAGCUGACUACAAAGUAGAGGUGUAUGACAUCCUCGACACCCUCUCUAUGCUUCGUGUGGAGGUCCGUUCCUUGGAAGGCCUCACUGCCCUCGUCCGAGCAAGCUCCGAGUCCCAAUGCUCGACGCAGCGGGCGAUGGAGCACCUCUCCUGCAAACGCUGUGACCUGUCCCAGGAGACGCACACCUCGCUGCAGUUUACUGACGCAGCCGAAGCCGCUCGACACCCACAACAUGCUGAGCUGGGAUCAUUCUUCGCUUCCCUGGCGCCUGACAGGCUCAUUGACCUGCGGCUCUUGCUGGCCACUAGCGCCGAUGGCAGGAUCUCCUUUGAGUCUCUUGGGGAAAUAAUAUCCACUCUCAAACAAAGUGCACUGCUGUUGGUGGCUCCCGUAUCUUCCAAUGCGGCUGAACUGUGCAACGAGGCUAAGGAGACUCUGCUACAAAAGAGGUCAUGUUAUAACGAGAUGAAGUUAUUCAUCCGCGCUGAGCUUGCGCAAGUGCUGAAGAAAUAUGCCUUUGAGCAUCCUCUGGAACCAAAAUAUGAGCCAAGUGUUAUCUGUGGUUUGGUGGCGGCUCCCAGAUCCCUAGACAGGCUUUCCUAUCAUGUUAAUUUUGUGGCUGCUUCUGAAUCUGAUAACCAACUCUUCUUUGCCGAAAUAAAUGAGUCAUUUCCUGACCCGCCAAAACCAAAUUUCUGCUGCCCUCUACCCCUGACAUCUACUGGUCGUUGCUACUAUGGAGAGGGGUCUGCGAGGAAGAUUGUGUAUCCAGAUUCAUCAGAACUUCUUGAGUGUAAUAUUGAUAUUACAGACUAUGGAACGGUGCACGCGGAUGGAUUGUUGGACCCAGAUUUCAUCUUGGAUUUUAGGAGAGACGUGCAGUUUGCAGAGGAUCUGAGGAAGUACUGUGAAGAACAAAAGGCUGAUGAGUAUGAAUUAAUAUGA
rnacentral:rRNA from 1 species